AAUGCUUCCUCAAAGCACCUGCAUCAAUAAAUGUUUUUCCACAGCCUUCAUAGCUACAAAGGAAAAGCACUUCAGUGGUGGGUUCUGGUUCAGGUUCUGGUGCCUCUGACUGUUUUGCCUUCUCCUUUAAUGCCUUUAAUGUAUCCUCUGGAACCCAUUUCAAAAGAAAGCACUUUCCUCCAGUCGCAACAACAUCUUGGGGGACCCAUUCUUUGAU
rnacentral:misc_RNA from 1 species